rnacentral:rRNA from 1 species
UACGUAGGGUGCAAGCGUUGUCCGGAAUUAUUGGGCGUAAAGAGCUCGUAGGCGGUCUGUCGCGUCGGAUGUGAAAAUCCAGGGCUCAACCCUGGACCUGCAUUCGAUACGGGCAGACUAGAGUUCGGUAGGGGAGACUGGAAUUCCUGGUGUAGCGGUGAAAUGCGUAGAUAUCGUAAGGAAGACCAGUGGCGAAGGCGGAUCUCUGGACAGUUACUGACACUGAGGCACGAAGGCCAGGGGAGCAAACGGG